CCUACGGGAGGCAGCAGUGGGGAAUAUUGCACAAUGGGCGCAAGCCUGAUGCAGCAACGCCGCGUGGGGGAUGACGGCCUUCGGGUUGUAAACCUCUUUUGUCAGGGAAGAAGCCUUUGGGUGACGGUACCUGGAGAAAAAGCACCGGCUAACUACGUGCCAGCAGCCGCGGUAAU
rnacentral:rRNA from 1 species